rnacentral:rRNA from 1 species
UACAGAGGUCCCGAGCGUUGUUCGGAUUUACUGGGCGUAAAGGGUGCGUAGGCGGUUGGGUAAGUUUGAGGUGAAAGCUCCGGGCUCAACCCGGAAAAUGCCUUGAAAACUAUCCGGCUAGAGGGUUGGAGGGGAGACUGGAAUUCUCGGUGUAGCAGUGAAAUGCGUAGAUCUCGAGAGGAACACCAGUGGCGAAGGCGGGUCUCUGGACAACACCUGACGCUGAGGCACGAAAGCCAGGGGAGCAAACGGG